rnacentral:rRNA from 1 species
AUGCACGCUGGCGGCGUGCCUCAUCCCUGCAAGUCGCGCGCACAGACGAGGAGCUUGCUCCUCUGACGUUAGCGGCGGACGGGUGAGUAACACGUGGAUAACCUACCUAUAAGACUGGGAUAACUUCGGGAAACCGGAGCUAAUACCGGAUAAUAUAUUGAACCGCAUGGUUCAAUAGUGAAAGACGGUUUUGCUGUCACUUAUAGAUGGAUCCGCGCCGCAUUAGCUAGUUGGUAAGGUAACGGCUUACCAAGGCAACGAUGCGUAGCCGACCUGAGAGGGUGAUCGGCCACACUGGAACUUAGACACGGUCCAGACUCCUACGGGAGGCAGCAGUAGGGAAUCUUCCGCAAUGGGCGAAAGCCUGACGGAGCAACGCCGCGUGAGUGAUGAAGGUCUUCGGAUCGUAAAACUCUGUUAUUAGGGAAGAACAAAUGUGUAAGUAACUAUGCACGUCUUGACGGUACCUAAUCAGAAAGCCACGGCUAACUACGUG